UAUGCAGUUAAUAAAUCUAACUCGCGAGCCUCUCGUUACUUCUAAUGAAGUUUUUUUUCCAAAAUUAUGAAUUGGAAGGAGGUUCAGUCGUGGAAUCAGCCGCUUACUUCUGACUGGAUAACGCUUACUUCGUUUUAAAAGAUUAUUAAGAGUGAUAUUGCUUUUAGUAUCUUUGUAACUAAGGUUUGAAGUGCUGGAUUCAGUAGCGGCCGCGCUAUCACUGUAAUGUGCAAGCGGUUUGAAUCUGGCAUGAAUAACCACCAAGCAUUCAGAAAAAAUAGUUUAACUUGUUAAACGAUUUGUUUUGAUCUUGGUGGAUUUAAAUGUGACAAAUUGAUUCUUAAGAAAUGUAUUAACAAGACUCCAAUCAAUGCAAUUUUUUGAAUAAAGGAAUUUUAUAUUGAAUGUGCAGUAACUCCAAAACAGAAACGGUCAGAGAUGCAAACAAACGCUAUGGAAGAUUUGCUAAGCUGCAUUGCACACAAAGAAACCAUUUCAAAUAAAUUAAAAAACGUCUUCCUGUUAUGUCAAAGGUAAAAUAAUACUUAAUUCAAAGGAAUAAUACUUAAUUCUACUACAGCACAAAUAUUAGAAGAGUAUCCAGCAUUAAGAAUUGCUACAGAGGUGUGUUUUAACUUAAAUUUAUAAAUCGAUGGAGUAAUAAUAAUUCAAAGUUGAUAAAUUUUAAUGAUUAUAAUUAUGAUUUGUAGCUAUUAGAAGAGGUAAAUCUCAUAACUGGAAAUGAAGGAACCAAUAAAAUAAACCAGUUCUUUACAGUUAAAAGAUCUAUAAAAGUACUGGAGAUGGCCAAGUCGGGAAAAAGAAAUGCUAAAAAUAUUGACCUGGUGAGUAACAUUGUGGCUGCCAUAGGAUCUGAGUCAAAUGUCAAUAUAGAAGGAAUCAACUCUAAGCACACCAACAAUAAACAUUACUUGCUCAAAUCAAGCCAAUAUUCUGCAUUUUGAAGAUGUGCAUAAAGCGAUCUACCUCAAUGGUUUAAUUAUUUGUAACGUUCUAUCAAUUGAUGAAGCAAUAAUAGUCUUAAUAGCAUCUUACUGGGUUUUUGAAAUAGCCUUUGAUCCGCGACUGUAGAAAACAUUGAUAUUUCUAGCCAAUUAUAUUUGUGGGCUUAGUGAGUACUGUGUCAGUGCACCGGUUCAGCGAUUGCUGAACAAGUUGUUGUAAACUUCUGUUUGUAAUAAAAGUAAAUUAGCUUUUUUUUAAA